rnacentral:siRNA from 1 species
UUAACCACGAUUUCCAGAUCGCGC